AUACGGAGGGUGCAAGCGUUAAUCGGAAUUACUGGGCGUAAAGCGCGCGUAGGCGGCUACUUAAGUCGGAUGUGAAAUCCCCGGGCUCAACCUGGGAACUGCAUUCGAUACUGGGUGGCUAGAGUACGAGAGAGGGGGGUAGAAUUUCUAGUGUAGCGGUGAAAUGCGUAGAUAUUAGAAGGAAUACCAGUGGCGAAGGCGGCCCCCUGGCUUGAUACUGACGCUGAGGUGCGAAAGCGUGGGGAGCAAACAGGAUUAGAAACCCCAGUAGUCC
rnacentral:rRNA from 1 species